GGUGGUAUAGCUCAGUGGUAGAGUGCAUGCUUUAUUAAGCACACACUAGGUCCUGAGUUCAACCCCAGUAUCUCCA
rnacentral:tRNA from 1 species